GUGAGGAAUUUUCCGCAAUGGGCGAAAGCCUGGCGGAGCAAUGCCGCGUGAAGAUGAAGGCCUAUGGGUUGUAAACUUCUUUUCUUAGAGAAGAAUAUUGACGGUAUCUGAGGAAUAAGCAUCGGCUAACUCUGUGCCAGCAGCCGCGGUAAGACAGAGGAUGCAAGCGUUAUCCGGAAUGAUUGGGCGUAAAGCGUCUGUAGGUGGCUUCAAAAGUCUCCUGUCAAAGAUCAGGGCUGAACCCUGGGCCGGCAGGAGAAACUCUGAGGCUAGAGUUUGGUAGGGGCAGAGGGAAUUCCCGGUGGAGCGGUGAAAUGCGUAGAGAUCGGGAGGAACACCAAAGGCGAAAGCACUCUGCUGGGCCACAACUGACACUGAGAGACGAAAGCGAGGGGAGCAAAAGGGAUUAGAAACCCCUGUAGUCC
rnacentral:rRNA from 1 species